AUACACCUGGAAACAGAUGCUAAUACCGGAUAACAACAGAUGAUGCCUAUCAACUGUUUAAAAGAUGGUUCUGCUAUCACUCUUGGAUGGACCUGCGGUGCAUUAGCUAGUUGGUAGGGUAACGGCCUACCAAGGCGAUGAUGCAUAGCCGAGUUGAGAGACUGAUCGGCCACAUUGGGACUGAGACACGGCCCCAAACUCCUACGGGGAGGCAGCAGGU
rnacentral:rRNA from 1 species